UCUUAUGUAGUAUAGUGGUUAGUAUUCACGUCCGCCAUGCGAGAAACCGGGGUUCAAAUCCUCGCCUGAGAG
rnacentral:tRNA from 1 species